rnacentral:rRNA from 1 species
ACGGAAUAGAUACCCAGGUAGUCCCAGCCGUAAACGAUGCUCGCUAGGUGUCAGGCAUGGCGCGACCGUGUCUGGUGCCGCAGGGAAGCCGUGAAGCGAGCCACCUGGGAAGCACGGCCGCAAGGCUGAAACUUAAAGGAAUUGGCGGGGGAGCACAACAACGGGUGGAGCCUGCGGUUUAAUUGGACUCAACGCCGGACAACUCACCGGGGGUCGACAGCAAUAUGUAGGCCAAGCUGAAGACUUUGCCUGAAUCGCUGAGAGGAGGUGCAUGGCCGUCGCCAGUUCGUACUGUGAAGCAUCCUGUUAAGUCAGGCAACGAGCGAGACCCGUGCCCACUGUUACCAGCAUGUCCU